UACGGAGGGUGCAAGCGUUGUCCGGAAUCACUGGGCGUAAAGGGCGCGUAGGCGGCUCAUGAAGGCUGUGGUGAAAGUCCGGGGCUCAACCUCGGAUCGGCCGUGGCGACUCGUGGGCUGGAGCACUGUAGAGGCGGGUGGAAUUCCUGGUGUAGCGGUGGAAUGCGCAGAUAUCAGGAAGAGCACCCGUGGCGAAGGCGGCUCUCUGGGACGGUAUUGACGCUGAGACGCGAAAGCGUGGGGAGCGAACAGG
rnacentral:rRNA from 1 species